CUGCUCCGUACUCACCUUCAUAAACUGAAACUGGGAAAUAAAUGCUGACGUAAUAGGGAUCAUCUGGUUCCUCGACUGGAAGCCUUUUUGGAGUCGUUUUUGAACAUUCGGGUGCAGACGGCCCAUCAAAAAGCUCCUCAUCGAGGGAGCCUGCGUUGUUCCAGCCUUGUCCCUUGAGUAACUGCUGCAUUCCUGUUCAACCGCAACAUCCAUCUGAGGCUUCGACCAGAAUCUUUGCUUCUCUAUGGAUUCAGCCUUGACUUUUGUGUUGUAUAAUAUAUUUUUAUUAUCUUCUUCAGGAUGCCACCUGAGGUGAGUGAUGCAGGGAUCCUCUCUCCAGCGUGUUCUCCAGGCCUCACCGCUGGCCUCAGACUUUUCAGGAGUCAUCUGUCCAGCUGCUUGGUUCUCAGAGUGCAUUUUUUCAUAUCCAGGCUGAGAAGAACACUGCAACAAUUGGGCUUGAAGAAACAAGACACAACCAGAUGAAAUGAGGCAUGUAAUUCUUAAUUUAAAAACUAUGUGCAAAUUAAACACACACACACACACAAAUUUAUAUAUAUGCUUCAAUCGCUUGUUGCUGUUUGUAUUUAUUGUCUUGGAGGAUUUUGCGCAAUCAGCUGUCGCCAACUUUGUCUAUGCAUACCUCGAUUGGAAAAGUCCCACGACUCUUUCUGAUCAAGCCUAUCCCUCCUGGAUUGGGGCUCAAUCUGGUCCUGUAAUGCGUAGGGAACAUGGGAAAGACGUGAAAGGCUCGUUUUUAGUUGAAGACCAUCAGAAGUGGAGGUGUUCGUCUUUGCCGAAAAGGAAACGGAAGUCGUUGCAGGACGUUUUACAGUUAUUCUACCCUCAUUCCUCUGCAGAUGCUGGCCGUGUUUACUCGAAGGAGGACACGGUGAUGAGCAAGCAGGGCCAAAACAUGUGGAGCUGGAGAGACAGAUAAAAAUAUUCAAGAGAACGUAUGGAAUGAGUUCACUAUUCAUAAGUGGCGGCUAUGCACUUUGUACCUUUUUGACCAACUUCAAUGGCUACUUGGCUUAUUUCGAUCCAGCUCUUAAUAACAAUACUUUCAUCUCGAAACCAAGUAUUAGUAUAUAGAAAGGCAAUACAGCAGCACAAAACGGCACCACAAACUCGUCUGUGUUGAUUACUUUUUGCUCUCGCAAAUUUAGUCUCAAAGUGUGUGCCGCUAUCUUGUGGUCAAGGGCGGUAUUACACCUCAACAGGAGCCCAAAGUAGAAAAAGGGGGGGGGGGGGGGGCGGGGUACACAUACAAGAGCGGGACUUCGAAGCCAAUGGUAUUGCUGUAAAUGUGUUUUUUUAACCACCCAAAAUACUCGAUCCAUUUAUUUAUUUUUUUACCUGUCAGCGCCCGAGAGCUUCUUUUGAUUUCUUCCGUAGGUGACACCCUCGAGCCUAUACGAAGGCAUGUCAACUCCUUUCCUUUUCAGGGGAGCAGACAAAGGAGCGGAAGAAAGGUGCGUAGGAUGAGGAAGAUGAGGAUGAUCUUUCGCUAGUUUGGAGGACGCCGACAGACGAGGGAUUAAAGGUGACAGGCGGUCAAAUACGCUCAUUCUUCUUUCGUCUGCUGCUUUUUACGUUGGGGAAAUGAGAUGGGAGUGAAACCUGAUGAAGAAUGAAAUAAAGAAACAUUUGGAGGAGGCUUGCCAGUCCUAAUGGGGAAAAAGGCAAUUAACGAAACAAAUCCAGGUGUACAAAUGCAGACCCAUUCCUCCAUUUAUUUUUAGAGGCAGACCAGCAUUUAGACUAAGUGCAAAGUUAACGUAGUCAGGCGAGUUGAACUGUGAAUAAACCAUCACAAAGAGACAUUACUCAACAUUUUAGCAUUACUGUGCUCUAAAUUGUGAGUGUGGGUGUGGAUGGUUGUUCGUCUCUGUGUGCCCUGCGAUUGGCUGGCAACUGAUUCAGGGUGUCCCCCGCCUACUGCCCAAAGACGGCUGGGAUAGGCUCCAGCACCCCCCGCGAUCCUAGUUAGGAUCAAGCGGUUCGGAAAAUGGAUGGAUGGAUGGAUGUUACACACAUUUUUACUUGAAGAACAACCGUACCUACAUCAACCGCUUUCACGACUGGAAGUGGUUCGCUUUGUCUUUCAGAGUAAGAGCAUCAAACAAGGUAGCGCCAUCUUAAAUUAACUGUGUAAAUGUUGCUAACUGAAACAGCAGUCUUAAUUUUUUGUUGGAACCGGAACCAGAUUUUGAACAAACUUGUUCAUGAACUCUGCCAGUUAUCCUAACCUGUCAUUACCUGCCACCUCACAGAUUUCUACACACACAAAAAAGCAUUUAGGAGAUUAAAUAAUAAUAAUAAUUAGAAACAUUGUUUAUAUAUUUAUUUUUACGACGGGUGUGUAUCUCUCCAAUAAAAAACGAUGCGAUAUAAUUCAAGGACGGCUGAUAUUAAAGUGGAACAAAUGCAUUUGAGACAGUAGAGUACAGUUCUCGAAGGAAUGAUGCAACUAGUUUCUUGGCAUUUUUACAAUAAUUCAGUCCUAUCUAGAACUGAACUCUACUAAUAGGACUGAGCUUGUCAGUUCUAUUGGGGUGUAACGGGCAGUUUAUUAAGUGGUUCUAACAGUGUUAGCUGUCGAAGAAUCGAGGACUGUGUCUGAAAUCUGAAUAGGCGACGGUCAUUCCCUGAUUUGACCUAUUUUGUCGUCCCCUUCUGAUUCAGAGAAAUGGUUACACACUAGUUGUACGGAAGAAUAAGUGACUCAGAAAAAAGGUUAUUACAGUUAAUGAAAAAAAAAAUUACAAUUGGAAAAACAAUUUCGUUAACAAAAUAAAAUAUUUUAGGAAAAACAAAAAGGCUGAAAAAAGAAAACUAACAGAAACUACAACUUAUGCUCAUAAAAGAAAUUAUUAUGAUUGCAUAAAUGUCGUCUUUGUCAAAUAACCUCAUAUAUGAGCGUUCAGGGUUCAUUUUAUUGUAUUUAUAUCAGCAAAACCAACUCCAAUGAAAUAUCCCAAACUAUUACAACCAUUCAUGGCAGUAAAAGUCACUAACCUGCACAUGGAGGCUGUUGUCUGGUUGUUGUCAGACUUGAGUGAGGAAAGGAGACAAAUAGUGUGACGAGAGAGGACACAGUGGGCAUUGUGGGCGGACGGACGCCAUUCUCGUGAUUCCUGCACACUGAGCCUGCACUGUUGUUUCGCACCCACACUGCAUCCUUGCCCGGAGCUCUGUCCUGCUCUUGACAUCACACAUACUCAUCACCACUUACAGAACAUAUUUUUUAUUUUUGGUGUGAAAAGAUAAGGAAGCACAUGACUCACCCACAGUCAAUACAACAAAAGAUCUCUCUGGAUGCCAUUUUCUGUGAUCUACAAACAUGCAUCUGCUACUUUUAUAGGUCACACAUUGUACUAUCGUCACUACUACACUGUCACACAAACCAUCCACAUGCGUCUCAGAAUCUGUUGUUGUAUCAAGAUUUGCAACAGGGCUGGGCAAACUUUUGGGGUUCAAGGGCCCCAUUUUAUUUUGAAAACAGACAGAUGGGGCAGGUGAUUUGUAGAAGAGGUUGGGGAGAAAAAAAAGCAAAUUUUUGUUUUAAAGGCCUAUAUAUAUAUGUUAUUAAUUUUGUUCCAUCAUUUAGUACAUUUUAACACAUAUAUUUACCAUUCACAAUAAAUCACCAAAUAAUUAAUAAAAUACCAAUGAAAAAAUACAUUCAUUAAAUAAUUUUAGCAAUGAUAACAACAACAACCAACAACAACACACAAGAGCCUAAAUUCCUGCAAGCAAUAUUACAGGACUCUUGUUCAUGUAAAUGCUUGACGGGCCAGUCUUGGCCCCGCAGGCUGUACGUUGCCCACCCCCUGAUUAACAGCGUCAACGGCUACAACAUUAAGUACACCUGAAAAUGUGAUCCAAUACAAAAGAUAAUCAUGCACAGUUUUGAUUGGUUGUGUGUUUGCAGUGGUUGUAAAAUGGCACUGUGUCAUAUGGACAUUCAGUUGUUUGUAAUAUUUGAUCUUUUGCAGCUAAAUAAGGGAACAGAAACAUGAAGAACAUAAGCGUUUUGACACCACACUAACUGCCAUGAUACACAGAUGGGGUUGUUAAACGGAACUAGAUGUGCAUGGUCGGAAGCAAUUGCAAUGAGUCCCAACGGAUAUCUUCUAAUUGUUAAUGAUGCACAGCAAAGCACAAAUUUAUUCAUUGCCUAAUUUUGGGAUGAAUGUGUAUAAAUUAAAUGGGUCUUGUUUAGCAUGAAAACUACACAAUGAUGUGGCAAAGUAAUGUUUAAUUGAAGUUACCAUGAUGCUUUCGAAUGCUUUUUCAUAAUUGUUAGAAAAUUCAACAUGUAAAAACAAAAUAAUUGUUUGUUUGUUUGUUUUUAAUUCAUAUCCCUUAACACGACUUCUCUCUUGUGUCAUUCCCAGCUAAAAAAAUAACAUUUCAACAUGUCAUUAACUGAACUCAGAGGAGGACUAUAAAUAACUUUGGGCUUACCUCUUUUGGCUCCAUUAAUAUUCACAGCCCAAGUCUAACGCAAAGGGCAGUCUGUCAGUACGCAUGGGUGGAGUUUUUGGUAUUUUGCUAGACUUUGCACAGGUAGAAUUGGGAAUAAUGGGCAUUUGUGAGAUGGUACCUAGCUGAGUCCCAGAAAUUGCAAUGGCAUCCCUUAUUGGUAUUAAAAUCAGUGCGGUCGGAUCGCACGCCAAACUUAACAUUAUGGGAAGAGAAAUUGACUAGAUGGGAUUGAAUUUAUGAGGGAAAGGCCAUUAAAAAUGGAAGAGCAUUUUAAACUAACGUUGAGAUAUCAAGUAAUGUUUGAAAAAAACCUAGCAAAUACCCCCCCACCCCCAUAUAUCUAUCUAACACGUAGAGAGAGAGAGAGAGAGAGAGAGAGAGAGAGAGAGAGAGAGAGAGAGAGAGAGAGAGAGAGAGAGAGAGAGAGAGAGAGAAGAGAGCGUGUGUGUUUAAUGACUAUACAUAGAUGAGUUUCACUUUUUGGAUUGAACUACUGAAAUAAACCUUUCGACAACCAACACAUUUAUUGAGAUGAAUCUGUUUUUGAAUAUGAUCCCAAUAAAACUGUGAGCUGUUUUAUGUGCAAAACAAAUCUCUAAAGCCAUAUAACUUAUUAUAAUUAUUCUAUAACUCGGUGGUGGCCUCGGCCAUCCAUUAUGGCAUUGUCUGCUGGUCAGGCAGCAUCUCAGCCUGGGACAAAAAGAGACUGGAGGGACUGGUCAGGAAGGCCAGUUCUGUCCUGGGUUGCUGCCUUGACACUCUGGAGGAGGUGGGCAACCGAAGGAUGCUAACUAAGCUAAAAGCUAUGAUGGGCAGUCCCUCCCACUCCCUCAAGCCUGCCCUGACAGUACUUGGUAGCUCCUUCAGCCAGAGACUGUUACACCCGCGCUGCAAGAAGGAGAGAUAACGACGCUCGUUCCUACCGACUGCUGUCAGGCUGCUGAAUAAAAAUAAUAACAAUAAUAAUAAUAAUUAAAUGAUGUGAAAGACAAUUGUAAAUGGCACUGCGAUUUAUCCAUUUUGUGUUUAUAUUGCACUUAUUUGAACGGUGUUUGUCAUUUUUUUCUUCUUCUUUCUUCUUUCUACCUACAUUCUUGCUGCUGGAGGCUGUAAAUUUCCCCAGUGUGGGACAAAUAAAGGAUAUCUUAUCUUAUCAAUAGUAGACAGUUGUAAAAAUAAAAGAUAAAUACUGGCUCUUGAUGGAUUAUGCAAGGUUGCCUGAAGUGUCUGGUUUUAUAUGCCACUUGAAAAUUAGGAAUAACUCAAUCAAAACCAUUAUAUAUGACACUUGAAAUGGUAGCCCAAACAAACAAAAAGAAAAAAACAACAGCGCAUGUUAAAAAAUGGCACAAGUGGACAAUGGCAUGUCGACAUCAAGCCUAUCAAAGGCCAUCAUGGCCCUCCACAAUCUCGUUUUGGCAUAAUUUACAGUCAAACUCAUCUGUUUCACUUCAGUCUGAUUCACCCCGGGAUUAAAAAAAAAAAAAAACCCACAAUAUGUUUGGGAUCAGAGAAAAGUUGGUGUGACGGGAUAA